rnacentral:rRNA from 1 species
AUGAGGAACAACAAGCUCCCAUUGCAACCUAUUGAUGAGAACAGUUUGUCGUUAGUUCGUAAGGGCUCACACGAUGCUUUAGCAACCCCAGAUUGUAUGAUUACUAAAAUUGUUGAACACACCAAUGAAAAAGGUAAAUCUAUUUCUUCUUUUUCUUUGGUUCUUAAGUUUAGUCUUUUCUAUGAAUUGUACAGUCAAGUUUCAUUUUUUAUUUUCUAUUUUUUCCCCAUCCAAGUGCCUGAAGUGGGAGUAGUGAAGAAGGUCAGGGCUAGGGUGUUCAACACAAUGCAUCAUGAGUAG